AUACAGAGGGUGCGAGCGUUAAUCGGAAUUACUGGGCGUAAAGCGCGCGUAGGCGGUCUAUUAAGUCAGAUGUGAAAUCCCAGGGCUCAACCUUGGAACUGCAUCUGAUACUGGUAGACUAGAGUUUUGGAAAGGGAAGUAGAAUUUCAGGUGUAGCGGUGAAAUGCAUAGAGAUCUGAAGGAAUACCAGUGGCGAAGGCGACUUCCUGGCCAAAAACUGACGCUGAGGUGCGAAAGCGUGGGUAGCAAACGGGAUUAGAAACCCUAGUAGUCC
rnacentral:rRNA from 1 species